AGCCCUGGUGGGGUCCAGGGGUGAAGCCCCCGGAAGCUCAUGGAUUUUACAGAUUUUAAAGGUCUUAAAAUAUGUCUCCUAUGUAGUCAUUUUUACUAUUUUCUGUCAUUUUUGAUAAGGUGAAAUUAAUAAAAUGACGCAAAUUUAGGGGUUUUUGGAAAAAAUGUAAGUUAUUCCAAUAAAAUAAAUGAUGCAAUAAAUCAAAAGAUUUUGUCAUAUUUUUCUCCAAGAGUGGAAGAAAUCAUUUAUUCUUUUAUCGUUUACAUUUUUCUAAACAAGAGACCACGAUUUACCUUAGAUUUGGAAAUUUUAAGAUGGGGCGCCGGCUGCUCCUCCAUUAAAUCCGUCACUGAUCAUUAAAUCAAUAUCAAACAGGAGAGUUACAUAACAUUGAGGGCUAGUCUUGUUAAUUUGUUACACGUGUUUGAUUUACAAGCAAUUCAUCCCAAUUCGCUGAUCCCUCUUGGCAUAUCUCCAUGGAAACAACAAGAAAUUGUAAGUGUUAGUGGUGUGCCACAUGCUGGUUUUUUUUUUGUUUUUUUUUUUGACAUGGUCAGAACCAAAUCUUUAUCAGUGCUAGAAUUAUCUUACACGUCAACAAGGAUCAUAUCGUAUUUUGGAGAAGUUUGAUACCCUGCCCAGCAAUUACUGUAGAUGAUAUGGAUAAAUUUGGGAAAAGAAGGGCAUAUAACAGGAAAUGGAUAUCGUCCAAACGUCGUGAACAAAUGCGUGUAAAGCAAAGGAAAAUAAUGGAAUUAGAAAUCUUAUUGGACAUCAGCAGUGAUGAGAAUGAUGAUGGAAAUACUCAAAAUGAAUUAACAUCAGAUAUCAUGGGAUCAAGAAUUGCGUUGGAAAAUGACGGUGAGACAUCAAAUCACGUUGAUGACCAUUUGAAGGAACAAAAUAAACACGAAGAAGCAGAGCAAAUCAUGCACAAUUCUGAUGUUCAAAACAUAGGUGUUCAACAUACUGACUCUGAGUCUGGCCACAAUGAAAUUAGUGACGACAUUGUAAACUUUGAGACAUCUUCAACUCAUUCUGAUGAUGAAAGAAAUUAUGACUGCAAACAAUUAAGAGAAUCGCUUAAAAACUGGGUUAAUACUCAUGAAAUAAGGGCAAAUUCAGUUGACAGCCUCUUAAAAAUACUGAGAGACAAUGGCUAUCCAGAUCUACCAAUUUCAUAUAGGACAUUAUUGAGGACGCCAAGGGAUGUUGAUUUAUAGAGGAUCUCCGACAUGGAUGACUUCCGCUUUGGUUUACAAACAAUGAUUCGCGAGGCAUCAAAUGAAUUAUAUGAAUAUGAAUUAUGUUCUGAUUAGUUAUUAAUAUCACAUUAUUAGAAUACCAUCUUCGCUAGCCAAGGGUGACGCUCCACGAUGUUUCCCUCUUUUCAAGAGAGACAGCGUGGAGCAUCACCCUUGGCUCGCGAAAAUGUUAGAAGUCAUUUUAUGUUUUAAGAAACUCGGACUUUGUAUUCUAUUUUUUUUUUUAAAGUAUGCUUGGGAUAUGUUCUAUAAAACAUUUUCAAAUCAGUAAACUGAAAACGUUACAAAAAUGCUUUCUUUAAAAACACUAUUAUACAUGUAACAUUUCAGUCAAUUUUUUUUUUUAAAACGUUAUUGUAUUCCGUGACCAUAUACAUUUGCGUUUUUAAAACAUAGUAAGCUGUUUUACUAUUUAUUCGAAAACGCGAUAUCUCUUUAACUUUGAGGGAUAUCUCUUAACCUUAAAGUUAAAGAGAUAUAUCUUCUGAUGCAAAAGAGAUAUAUCUUAAAGUUUAAAGAGAUAUCGCUUUAAGUUAAGGAUAUGUCUCUCUACCGAUGCAAAAGAAAAUGUAAUAGAGAUAUCUCUUUAACUUUAAGAGAUAUCUCUAAAUGUUAAAGACAUGACCCUAAUAAAUUAACUACAAUAGUUACUCCAGUCAAUGAACUUCGCCUUUUGUAUGAAGUAAUAUGUGUACAUGGUCAAAAUGGCUGAACAUGAUCUACUGUGUUGAAUAGUAGAUCUAGUAGCUAGAUUUGUUUGACUAAGUAAAUAAAAGAUAGUAUAAAUAUG